CAGUAGCCGCGGUAAUACGUAGGGUGCGAGCGUUAAUCGGAAUUACUGGGCGUAAAGCGUGCGUAGGCGGUUCGUUAAGUCUGUUGUGAAAGCCCCGGGCUCAACCUGGGAAUGGCAAUGGAUACUGGCGAGCUAGAGUGUGUCAGAGGAUGGUGGAAUUCCCGGUGUAGCGGUGAAAUGCGUAGAGAUCGGGAGGAACAUCAGUGGCGAAGGCGGCCAUCUGGGGCAACACUGACGCUGAGGCACGAAAGCGUGGGGAGCAAACAGGAUUAGAUACCCCAGUAGUCCCUGUCUCUUAUAC
rnacentral:rRNA from 1 species